rnacentral:rRNA from 1 species
GACGAACGCUGGCGGCGCGCUUAACACAUGCAAGUCGAGCGAGAACCAGGGCUUCGGCCCUGGGGACAGCGGCGAACGGGUGAGUAACACGUGGGUAAUCUGCCCUCGGCGCCGGAAUAGCCCGGGGAAACCCGGAUUAAUGCCGGAUGGCCCCUUCACCUCGCGAGGUGUUGGGAAAAGGUAGCUUCGGCCUCUGGCCGAGGAUGAGCCCGCGGCGGAUUAGCUUGUUGGCGGGGUAACGGCCCACCAAGGCGACGAUCCGUAGCUGGUCUGAGAGGACGAUCAGCCACACUGGGACUGAGACACGGCCCAGACUCCUACGGGAGGCAGCAGUGGGGAAUCUUGCGCAAUGGGCGAAAGCCUGACGCAGCGACGCCGCGUGAGGGAAGAAGGCCUUCGGGUUGUAAACCUCUUUCAGGAGGGACGAAGCUACUCGGGUGAAUAGCCCAGAGGGUGACGGUACCUCCAGAAGAAGCCCCGGCUAACUACGUGCCAGCCGCCGCGGUAA